CCUACGGGGGGCAGCAGUGGGGAAUAUUGGACAAUGGGCGAAAGCCUGAUCCAGCCAUGCCGCGUGUGUGAAGAAGGCCUUCGGGUUGUAAAGCACUUUCAGUGGGGAAGAAAGCCUUGGGGCUAAUACCCUCGAGGAAGGACAUCACCCACAGAAGAAGCACCGGCUAACUCCGUGCCAGCAGCCGCGGUAAUACGGAGGGUGCGAGCGUUAAUCGGAAUUACUGGGCGUAAAGCGCGCGUAGGCGGUCUGAUAAGCCGGUUGUGAAAGCCCCGGGCUCAACCUGGGAACGGCAUCCGGAACUGUCAGGCUAGAGUGCAGGAGAGGAAGGUAGAAUUCCCGGUGUAGCGGUGAAAUGCGUAGAGAUCGGGAGGAAUACCAGUGGCGAAGGCGGCCUUCUGGACUGACACUGACGCUGAGGUGCGAAAGCGUGGGUAGCAAACAGGAUUAGAUACCCCUGUGUC
rnacentral:rRNA from 1 species